rnacentral:rRNA from 1 species
AUUGAACGCUGGCGGCAUGCCUUACACAUGCAAGUCGAACGGCAGCACGGGAGCAAUCCUGGUGGCGAGUGGCGAACGGGUGAGUAAUAUAUCGGAACGUGCCCGGUCGUGGGGAUAACGUAGCGAAAGCUACGCUAAUACCGCAUACGAUCUACGGAUGAAAGCGGGGGAUCGCAAGACCUCGCGCGAUUGGAGCGGCCGAUAUCAGAUUAGGUAGUUGGUGAGGUAAAGGCUCACCAAGCCGACGAUCUGUAGCUGGUCUGAGAGGACGACCAGCCACACUGGGACUGAGACACGGCCCAGACUCCUACGGGAGGCAGCAGUGGGGAAUUUUGGUACAAUGGGCGCAAGCCUGAUCCAGCAAUGCCGUGUGCAGGA